rnacentral:rRNA from 1 species
CCCUUAGAUGUUCUGGGCCGCACGCGCGCUACACUGACGGAGCCAACGAGUAUUUUCCUUGUCCGGAAGGACUGGGUAAUCUUGUGAAACUUUGUCGUGCUGGGGAUAGAGCAUUGUAAUUAUUGCUCUUCAACGAGGAAUUCCUAGUAAACGCAGAUCAUCAAUCUGCAUUGAUUACGUCCCUGCCCUUUGUACACACCGCCCGUCGCACCUACCGAUUGGAUGGUCCGGUGAAGCCUCGGGAUUGUGGUUCUUGCCGCUUUAUUGUGGCGUGACCGCGAGAACUUGUCUAAACCUUAUCAUCUAGAGGAAGGUGAAGUCGUAACA